GAUGAAGAACGCAGCGAAAUGCGAUAAGUAAUGUGAAUUGCAGAAUUCAGUGAAUCAUCGAAUCUUUGAACGCACAUUGCGCCCGCCAGUAUUCUGACGGGCAUGCCUGUUCGAGCGUCAUUUCAACCAUCAAGCCCCAGGCUUGUGUUGGGGACCUGCGGCUGCCGCAGGCCCUGAAAACCAGUGGCGGGCUCGCUGUCACACCGGGCGUAGUAGAUUUUAUCUCGCUCAGGGCGUGCUGCGGGUUCCGGCCGUUAAAAAGCCUUUUUUACCCAAGGUUGACCUCGGAUCAGGUAGGAAGACCCGCUGAACUUAAGCAUAUCAAUAAGCGGAGGA
rnacentral:misc_RNA from 1 species